rnacentral:sRNA from 1 species
CGCCGGGACGAAGGCGGGAUGCGAUCUGUCCCACG